rnacentral:rRNA from 1 species
ACGCCGCGUGAGCGAGGAAGGCCUUCGGGUCGUAAAGCUCUGUUCUGGGGGAAGAAGGAUGUGACGGUACCCCAGGAGGAAGCCCCGGCUAACUACGUGCCAGCAGCCGCGGUAAGACGUAGGGGGCGAGCGUUGUCCGGAAUUACUGGGCGUAAAGGGCGCGUAGGCGGCUCAAGAAGUCAGGGGUGAAAUACCGCAGCUCAACUGCGGGGGUGCCUCUGAAACCAUUGGGCUUGAGGGCAGGAGAGGGGAGUGGAAUUCCCGGUGUAGCGGUGAAAUGCGUASAUAUCGGGAGGAACACCAGUGGCGAAGGCGGCUCUCUGGCCUGGCCCUGACGCUGAGGCGCGAAAGCGUGGGGAGCAAACAGGAUUAGAUACCCUGGUAGUCCACGCUGUAAACGAUGGGUGCUAGGUGUUGGGGGGGUAGACUCUUCAGUGCCGUAGCAAACGCMAUAAGCACCCCGCCUGGGGAGUACGGCCGCAAGGCUG